CCAGCGUGUGCUUGACGCAUCCCUUGGUUCUUGGAGAAACAUGUGCUAUUCCUGGUGCUUUUGGUUGUGGAAAAACUGUUAUUAGUCAGGCACUUUCCAAGUACUCCAGUUCUGAAGUUGUGGUUUAUGUGAGAUGUGGUGAAAGAACAAAUGAGAUGGCUGGGGUUCUCAUGGACUUGCCCCAAUUGACAACGACGUUGCCCAACGAACGUGAAGAGUUUGUCAUGAAGAGAACAACAUUGGUUUCUAACGCGUCUAACAUGCCCGUUGCUGCUCGUGAAGCCUCCAUUUAUACAGGUAAAGGUGUAAUGCCUUGAAAGCCGUGGAAGUAAAGGGGAUUUAUUGAUCAAGCUGGCUCAUUAUAUUAGGGUUGUCUUGAUCUUGCUUACUCAAGUGCUUCGCCAGUAGAGCUGCACAACAUGUGCGAUGUGCCAAGCCGUGCUUUCAAGUUGUGUCCUCGGCCCUCCCCGUCGUAAUGGUGGUCUAGCAUGAAGCUUGAAAGUUGAUCCAAACCAACACCAUGUAUUCUUAUGGAUGUAUGAGUCAACUCAUUGUAGGUGGAGCUUUUCUCUUGCGCACAACUUACUUUAUUUUAUGCUUUAUCAGUGUAAUGUCCAGUUUCAUUUGCAGGUAUACCAUUACUCUUCUCAUGGUAUUGCAGAUGCAUCAUGUGUAGCUUUUCAGCCUUGCAAAAUAGAAGUUUAAUUUAUACAUGCAUAUUGUCAGAAUAUUGGUGCGUUCAAAAGACUAUGGGUGGAAUUAACAAACUGGCUGAAAAUAUGAAACAAAUCCAGGAUGCUUUGCCAGCUUUUCAUGGAGAUUCUGCUAAUUUCAACACGAGGAGGAACUUCAAGAAUUGGAGGGAGAGUGUGUGUCUGGUCAAUAGGCAAGCAGUCCCCCCUGCUCCAUCGGAAGCUACAAUUGAAGAGGUUGCUGCACUACAAGCUAAAAUGACGAAACAACCAAGUUAAUGUUUGAUCUUUUGUUACAUCGAUUUGUAAACCUUAAUGUCUAUUUGCUGCUUUCACAAGACUAA